CGUGGGCCGGGACAUGAAGCACUCGACGGUGAAGGGACACGGCGCCCGGUUGCAGACGAUCUGCGGCUCCAUGACAAACCCGUACAGAAGAUCAACAACUAGAUGUUACUACUGCCGGAAACCAUGAAGAAGACAACAGGAAAUGGUAGGUGGACAAUGGAGCGGCAUGUUUGUUAAUGACUAAUUCAUGUGAUUUUAAUUGCAAAAUUGUGUUGUUGUUUUUUAACAGCAGAAUAUCGACAAAGUUUUGCGCUCAUUUGUAACGGAAACACAGCUACUGUGACUCUUCCCGUUGGAUAUUUAUGGUGAUUUUUGUUAGUUUACAAUAUACACGAUCGCACAAUGA